AGGAAACCGAGGUACAGGUUGGUGAAGGACUUGGCCAUGGUCAUACGGGGUAGCUCUGAAGGGAGGAGCAGAGGAGCAGAGGAGCAUGGGACCGAAAUAGUAGGUGGCCAUGAGGCUGGAAGACCAUGAGAAGUUGGAAGAGUGUGGUGUCUGAGAUGCUAGGAGGACAUAGGUUUGCAAUUAAACCGUUGGGGCAACAUAGUUCUAAAGACUGACCUGAAAUCAUCUUGCUUCUUCAGAUCACAACCAAAAACUUACUUCCUCCACAAAGCCUAACUAGAAAAACUCUACUAGUGUUAUUCAUGGAAGCACUUAUGUGUGGAACCUGAGUUUCUGGCCUGGUGCAUUUGCCUAAGAUUCUCCUCAUUGGUCGAAAGAAGAAUUACUCGAAGCUGAAUGCCUGCAAAAAAGGUGGAGGUGGCACCAGAGUUUGGGAGAAGAGAGAUUUUCUUCUUGUUUCCUUUCCAAGAGAGGGCAAAUGUGCAAAGAACUUUAAGGAGCAGGUGCUUCAUUAUGUUCUAAUUAUUUCUCUCCUUUGGGGCAUUUCCCCUUGGCUGAGAUCAGAGUCAGUUUGUCUGUCUCUCUCUGUCUCUGUCUUUCAUUGUCUCUAUCUCUGUCUCUGUUUCUCUUUCUCUGUCUGUCUCUCUGUCUGUCUCCCUGCCUAUCUCUGUCUCUCUUUCUCUCUCCUGAGCCAAGUUAUGUUGACCUUAGUGAGAGAGCUCAUUCACUCUUUUUUAUUGUUUACUGUAUUCUGAUCUGUAUAACUCUAAUUUUGUUUGCUAUCUACUUGGAUAAAUGGGUAUAUUCACUGUUUACUAUUUGUGAUAGUCUUUUGUGUAAAUGAAAUUUGGUGGAAAGCUGCUAAAUCUUCAGAUACCUCUUUCUCUUUAGGGCAUAGUAACUUCAAAAACAGCUUGAACCUAAAAAUAAAUUAAUUUCUCCUAGCCUACCAAUACUUAAGGAGGCAGAGAAACCUGGUGGUCCCUUCUCCUACUCCCCUCUAGGCAGGAAUCAAAGAUUUUUUUAGAGGGUGAGACUUCUGAGAUAUCCAUUUAAGCCUCUCUGUGGGCCACAUUUAAAUAAUUCCAUGGGGACAUAGACAAACUACAAAGGCAGUACAAACACCCUAUUCCUACAUUUGUUUAUGUUAAGUUAGUUUGUAUUUGUUUGCAACCUCUUUCUUGUGUGGCAAUUAUGGUAUAGAGGAAACAGCAACUAAAUCUGUAGUUAGAGAACUUGGGGUUCAAAUCCCACCCCUAUUUAUUAUGUGCUAUGUGAUUUGGGGCAAGAUGCUAUCUCUCUGAUCCUGUUCAUUCUUAAAAAUGGGAUGAUAUUAAAUUGGAUUACCUACUUUAGCAGUGUAAAAGAAUUUUCUGCAUCAGGGAAGAUACCCACAGGAAGGGGAAGUAGCUCAAUUUCUGGCCUAAUUUGUUAGAGAACAUGGACUUAAGGAGGCAAUACAGAACUGUGGUGAAAUGUAAAAUGCCAAAUCAGCAGCACUGCAAACUGCUUCAUGUUUAGGUAGUUUUAAUUGUCCAGCAGUUAACCUUCCCAGCCCUAGUUAGUACUACUACUUGUUGAGUUUGCUUCUGUCAAAUGCCUGCUUGUGAAUGUUCAGCGGUUAGCAUUUCUCUUGUGUGAAGGAAAUAAAAAC